rnacentral:tRNA from 1 species
GGCGCUAUAGUGUAGUGGUUAUCACUUGGGAUUCUGAUCAUUGGUCCGAUUUCCCAAGACCCAGGUUCGAUCCCUGGUAGCGCCU